rnacentral:rRNA from 1 species
UACGUAGGGCGCAAGCGUUGUCCGGAAUUAUUGGGCGUAAAGAGCUCGUAGGCGGCUUGUCGCGUCUGCUGUGAAAUCCCGGGGCUUAACCCCGGGCGUGCAGUGGAUACGGGCUGGCUGGAGGCAGGCAGGGGAGAACGGAAUUCCCGGUGUAGCGGUGAAAUGCGCAGAUAUCGGGAGGAACACCGGUGGCGAAGGCGGUUCUCUGGGCCUGUACUGACGCUGAGGAGCGAAAGCGUGGGGAGCGAACAGG